rnacentral:misc_RNA from 1 species
GAUGAAGAACGCAGUGAAAUGCGAUAAGUAAUGUGAAUUGCAGAAUUCAGUGAAUCAUCGAAUCUUUGAACGCACAUUGCGCCCGCCAGUAUUCUGGCGGGCAUGCCUGUCUGAGCGUCACUUCAACCCUCAUGCCCCUAGGGCGUGGUGUUGGGGAUCGGCCAAAGCCCGCGAGGGACGGCCGGCCCCUAAAUCUAGUGGCGGACCCGUCGUGGCCUCCUCUGCGAAGUAGUGAUAUUCCGCAUCGGAGAGCGAUGAGCCCCUGCCGUUAAACCCCCAACUUUCCAAGGUUGACCUCAGAUCAGGUAGGAAUACCCGCUGAACUUAAGCAUAUCAAUAAGCGGAGGA